rfam:Pteropus alecto contig23479, whole genome shotgun sequence.
GUCUCUAGCCAUGCUACCCUCAACAAGCCUGACCCUGUCUGAUCUCAGAAGCUAAGUAGGGUCGGGCCUGGUUAGUACUUGGAUGGGAGACCACCUAGGAAGACCAGGUGCUGUAGGUG